GACGGAGGGUGCGAGCGUUAAUCGGAAUUACGGGGCGUAAAGCGGGCGUAGGCGGCUAAGUAAGCCGGUUGGGAAAGCCCCGGGCUCAACCUGGGAAUGGCAUCCGGAACUGUUGAGCUAGAGUGCGGAAGAGGAAGGUAGAAUUCCCGGUGUAGCGGUGAAAUGCGUAGAGAUCGGGAGGAAUACCAGUGGCGAAGGCGGCCUUCUGGUCUGACACUGACGCUGAGGUGCGAAAGCGUGGGUAGCAAACAGG
rnacentral:misc_RNA from 1 species